UACGGAGGAUGCGAGCGUUAUCCGGAAUUAUUGGGCGUAAAGAGCGCGCAGGUGGUUGAUUAAGUCUGAUGUGAAAGCCCACGGCUUAACCGUGGAGGGUCAUUGGAAACUGGUCGACUUGAGUGCAGAAGAGGGAAGUGGAAUUCCAUGUGUAGCGGUGAAAUGCGUAGAUAUCGGGAGGAACACCAGUGGCGAAGGCGACUUCCUGGCACAAUACUGACGCUCAUGUGCGAAAGCUAGGGUAGCGAACGGGAUUAGA
rnacentral:rRNA from 1 species